rnacentral:rRNA from 1 species
CAGGGAAUCUUGCGCAAUGGGCGAAAGCCUGACGCAGCGACGCCGCGCGAGGGAAGAAGGCCUGCGGGUCGUAAACCUCUCUUCUCGGGGAAGAUAGUGACGGUACCCGAGGAAUAAGCCUCGGCUAACUACGUG